UUAAGCGACUAAGCGUACACGGUGGAUGCCCUGGCAGUCAGAGGCGAUGAAGGACGUGCUAAUCUGCGAUAAGCGUCGGUAAGGUGAUAUGAACCGUUAUAACCGGCGAUUUCCGAAUGGGGAAACCCAGUGUGAUUCGUCACACUAUCAUUAACUGAAUCCAUAGGUUAAUGAGGCGAACCGGGGGAACUGAAACAUCUAAGUACCCCGAGGAAAAGAAAUCAACCGAGAUUCCCCCAGUAGCGGCGAGCGAACGGGGAGCAGCCCAGAGCCUGAAUCAGUGUGUGUGUUAGUGGAAGCGUCUGGAAAGGCGCGCGAUACAGGGUGACAGCCCCGUACACAAAAAUGCACAUACUGUGAGCUCGAUGAGUAGGGCGGGACACGUGGUAUCCUGUCUGAAUAUGGGGGGACCAUCCUCCAAGGCUAAAUACUCCUGACUGACCGAUAGUGAACCAGUACCGUGAGGGAAAGGCGAAAAGAACCCCGGCGAGGGGAGUGAAAAAGAACCUGAAACCGUGUACGUACAAGCAGUGGGAGCACAGAGCAAUCUGUGUGACUGCGUACCUUUUGUAUAAUGGGUCAGCGACUUAUAUUCUGUAGCAAGGUUAACCGAAUAGGGGAGCCGAAGGGAAACCGAGUCUUAACUGGGCGUUAAGUUGCAGGGUAUAGACCCGAAACCCGGUGAUCUAGCCAUGGGCAGGUUGAAGGUUGGGUAACACUAACUGGAGGACCGAACCGACUAAUGUUGAAAAAUUAGCGGAUGACUUGUGGCUGGGGGUGAAAGGCCAAUCAAACCGGGAGAUAGCUGGUUCUCCCCGAAAGCUAUUUAGGUAGCGCCUCGUGAAUUCAUCUCCGGGGGUAGAGCACUGUUUCGGCAAGGGGGUCAUCCCGACUUACCAACCCGAUGCAAACUGCGAAUACCGGAGAAUGUUAUCACGGGAGACACACGGCGGGUGCUAACGUCCGUCGUGAAGAGGGAAACAACCCAGACCGCCAGCUAAGGUCCCAAAGUCAUGGUUAAGUGGGAAACGAUGUGGGAAGGCCCAGACAGCCAGGAUGUUGGCUUAGAAGCAGCCAUCAUUUAAAGAAAGCGUAAUAGCUCACUGGUCGAGUCGGCCUGCGCGGAAGAUGUAACGGGGCUAAACCAUGCACCGAAGCUGCGGCAGCGACGCUGAUGCGUUGUUGGGUAGGGGAGCGUUCUGUAAGCCUGUGAAGGUGUGCUGUGAGGCAUGCUGGAGGUAUCAGAAGUGCGAAUGCUGACAUAAGUAACGAUAAAGCGGGUGAAAAGCCCGCUCGCCGGAAGACCAAGGGUUCCUGUCCAACGUUAAUCGGGGCAGGGUGAGUCGACCCCUAAGGCGAGGCCGAAAGGCGUAGUCGAUGGGAAACAGGUUAAUAUUCCUGUACUUGGUGUUACUGCGAAGGGGGGACGGAGAAGGCUAUGUUGGCCGGGCGACGGUUGUCCCGGUUUAAGCGUGUAGGCUGGUUUUCCAGGCAAAUCCGGAAAAUCAAGGCUGAGGCGUGAUGACGAGGCACUACGGUGCUGAAGCAACAAAUGCCCUGCUUCCAGGAAAAGCCUCUAAGCAUCAGGUAACAUCAAAUCGUACCCCAAACCGACACAGGUGGUCAGGUAGAGAAUACCAAGGCGCUUGAGAGAACUCGGGUGAAGGAACUAGGCAAAAUGGUGCCGUAACUUCGGGAGAAGGCACGCUGAUAUGUAGGUGAAGUCCCUCGCGGAUGGAGCUGAAAUCAGUCGAAGAUACCAGCUGGCUGCAACUGUUUAUUAAAAACACAGCACUGUGCAAACACGAAAGUGGACGUAUACGGUGUGACGCCUGCCCGGUGCCGGAAGGUUAAUUGAUGGGGUUAGCGCAAGCGAAGCUCUUGAUCGAAGCCCCGGUAAACGGCGGCCGUAACUAUAACGGUCCUAAGGUAGCGAAAUUCCUUGUCGGGUAAGUUCCGACCUGCACGAAUGGCGUAAUGAUGGCCAGGCUGUCUCCACCCGAGACUCAGUGAAAUUGAACUCGCUGUGAAGAUGCAGUGUACCCGCGGCAAGACGGAAAGACCCCGUGAACCUUUACUAUAGCUUGACACUGAACAUUGAGCCUUGAUGUGUAGGAUAGGUGGGAGGCUUUGAAGUGUGGACGCCAGUCUGCAUGGAGCCGACCUUGAAAUACCACCCUUUAAUGUUUGAUGUUCUAACGUUGACCCGUAAUCCGGGUUGCGGACAGUGUCUGGUGGGUAGUUUGACUGGGGCGGUCUCCUCCUAAAGAGUAACGGAGGAGCACGAAGGUUGGCUAAUCCUGGUCGGACAUCAGGAGGUUAGUGCAAUGGCAUAAGCCAGCUUGACUGCGAGCGUGACGGCGCGAGCAGGUGCGAAAGCAGGUCAUAGUGAUCCGGUGGUUCUGAAUGGAAGGGCCAUCGCUCAACGGAUAAAAGGUACUCCGGGGAUAACAGGCUGAUACCGCCCAAGAGUUCAUAUCGACGGCGGUGUUUGGCACCUCGAUGUCGGCUCAUCACAUCCUGGGGCUGAAGUAGGUCCCAAGGGUAUGGCUGUUCGCCAUUUAAAGUGGUACGCGAGCUGGGUUUAGAACGUCGUGAGACAGUUCGGUCCCUAUCUGCCGUGGGCGCUGGAGAACUGAGGGGGGCUGCUCCUAGUACGAGAGGACCGGAGUGGACGCAUCACUGGUGUUCGGGUUGUCAUGCCAAUGGCACUGCCCGGUAGCUAAAUGCGGAAGAGAUAAGUGCUGAAAGCAUCUAAGCACGAAACUUGCCCCGAGAUGAGUUCUCCCUGACCCUUUAAGGGUCCUGAAGGAACGUUGAAGACGACGACGUUGAUAGGCCGGGUGUGUAAGCGCAGCGAUGCGUUGAGCUAACCGGUACUAAUGAACCGUGAGGCUUAACCU
rnacentral:rRNA from 1 species